rnacentral:misc_RNA from 1 species
AAGUCGUAACAAGGUUUCCGUAGGUGAACCUGCGGAAGGAUCAUUAACAAAUUCCAAACACUCGUCUUUGCCAGGGUGAGGAACUUGGACUUCGGUUCCAAGGGUCUCUCUCUGGUCAUAUGACAAACAUACUUACAUUCACAAUUGACAACAACAGGAUUUCCACAAAUUAAUCGUUUAAACAACUUUUAACAAUGGAUCUCUUGGCUCUU